rnacentral:rRNA from 1 species
ACCUUACACGAAGAAGACACCGGCGUAACUACCGUCGCCACGCAGGCCCGCGGUAAUACGGGAGGGUGCGAGCGUUAAUCGGAAUUACUGGGCGUAAAGCGCAUGCAGGCGGCCUGUUAAGUCAGAUGUGAAAGCCCGGGGCUUAACCUCGGAAUUGCAUUUGAAACUGGCAGGCUAGAGUCUUGUAGAGGGGGGUAGGAAUUUCAGGUGUAGCGGUGAAAUGCGUAGAGAUCUGAAGGAAUACCAGUGGCGAAGGCGGCCCCCUGGACAAAGACUGACGCUCAGAUGCGAAAGCGUGGGGAGCAAACAGGAUUAGAUACCCUGGUAG